CCUACGGGUGGCAGCAGUGAGGAAUAUUGGUCAAUUGGCGCGAGCCUGAACCAGCCAAGUCGCGUGAGGGAUGAAGGUUCUAUGGAUCGUAAACCCCUUUUAUAAGGGAAUAAAGUGUGGGACGUGUCCUAUUUUGUAUGUACCUUAUGAAUAAGGAUCGGCUAACUCCGUGCCAGCAGCCGCGGUAAUACGGAGGAUCCGAGCGUUAUCCGGAUGUAUUGGGUUUAACGGGUGCGUAGGCGGCCUUUUAAGUCAGCGGUGAAAGUCUGUGGCUCAACCAUAGAAUGGCCGUUGAAACUGGGGGGCUUGAGUAUGUUUGAGGCAGGUGGAAUGCGUGGUGUAGCGGUGAAAUGCUUAGAUAUCACGCAGAACCCCGAUUGCGAAGGCAGCCAGCCAAGCCAUGACUGACGCUGAUGCACGAAAGCGUGGGGAGCAAACAGGAUUAGAUACCCCGGUAGUC
rnacentral:rRNA from 1 species